GAUGAUUGAUGCGAAACGUCAAAUUUUAAGUAUCCGAAGAAAAGAUUCAGCGAAAACCGCGCUUAGAAAUAAGCAAGAAAAAUGAGAAAACCGAAGUCGGAUUUCAUCAAUGUUGCAGUCUGAAUACUAAUUUACUUUCGAAAGUGGCCCGAUAUGGUUAAACUGUAUCAAAAUCCUGGAAGGCAGUAGUUUUAAAAGUACAGAUUCAGUGAAUACUGCACUGGAGGGAUUUAAGACAACCAUAAAAGUAAGGCCAAGUGAAGAAGUACUUUUGUUGAACAGGAAUCCGAAUAUUGAACAGGAAAUUCCCCCAGAAAUUAGUGUUAGAAACAAAACGAAAAAGCAACCCUGCAAACCUCGAUGAACCUUGAUCAGACCUAAGAGACAAAUAUAUUUUCUCUUCUCAACCUUGACUCAUAGAAGAGAGAAGAAUCAUUCGCAAUCACGAAUAGAAAAUUUUUGGUCAAAUUUCUUAAUGUAUUCUUCUAUACUAUACCAUAUUGAAUACUACUGAAUGAAUUGAAUUAUACUUUUAAUUCCAA